GCGCACUGCUACGCAUCUACCUCCUGUGCUUCUGAGAUUUGCUGAACGGGUGUGUUUGUCCCGUGAAGAACAGAAGAUCAGUCGACCUCUCUGUAGAUAUCUAAAGAGCUUUGGAGUCUGCAGGGACAGGAAUGCAUGUCUUGAUCGCCACAGCUUCAACCCACAUUUGGAUCACUCUGCGCUCCCUACAUCCGGAGUCAUUGAAGUUUUGCCUCUUUACAUAAAGACAGCAUCUGUCUAUUAUGGUCGUUUGGUGAAUUCCAGCGAUGAAGGAUUUGAAUCGAUGGCUUCUGAGAUAAACUCGUAUUAUGCCGACACAAAGCCAGGA